AGAGACAGCAGCCGCCACGGUAAUACGAAGGUCCCGAGCGUUGUUCGGAAUCACUGGGCGUAAAGGGAGCGUAGGCGGCGUGGUAAGUCAGAUGUGAAAUUCCGGGGCUCAACCCCGGAACUGCAUCCGAUACUGCCAUGCUAGAGGAUUGGAGAGGUAGCUGGAAUUCUUGGUGUAGCGGUGAAAUGCGUAGAGAUCGGGAGGAACAUCAGUGGCGAAGGCGGCCAUCUGGGACAACACUGACGCUGAGGCACGAAAGCGUGGGGAGCAAACAGGAUUAGAUACCCGUGUAGUCCCUGUCUCUUAUAC
rnacentral:rRNA from 1 species